GGCUGCAGCAUGGGCUUCACCAAGUUCUGUGCUGCUCUGCUGAACCACCCCAACACGGAGCUGCAGGCAAUCCCACAGACCAUACUGGACCAGGGGUUAGAAGCACUGAGCGGACCCCGGAGCAGCUCGAUAACGCGCCGUGCUGCCGGCUUCCCCAUGCUCUUCCUCUGCAUUGUCAGCGGGGAAAACCCAGCCCAGGCACGUCCACUCCUGACCCGCUGCAUCCAAACGCUGCUGGCCCUGGCCACCAUGGCCCUGCCACAGGACUGGGACCAAACCCUUGACCUCCCACAGGUGUGUGCCCUGCACGUGCUGCAAACAUUGGUGCGCGGUGCAGGGCUGGGCGCUGCGCUGCUGCGGCAUGCCACACCAAUGGUGGCCCUGGCACUGCGGGGACUGAGCUCGCCUUGCUGGGCCAUGAGGAAUGCAGCCAUCCAGCUCUUCAGUGAGUACCCCAGCUUUGCUCCAUGCCUGCUGUCCCUGCUGUCUCCUGCCUGCUGUCCC
rnacentral:lncRNA from 1 species